AACGAACGCUGGCGGCAUGCCUAACACAUGCAAGUCGAACGAGACCUUCGGGUCUAGUGGCGCACGGGUGCGUAACACGUGGGAAUUUGCCUCGGGGUAUGGAAUAACUCAGGGAAACUUGAGCUAAUACCAUAUAAUGUCUUCGGACCAAAGAUUUAUCGCCCUGGGAUAAGCCCGCGUAGGAUUAGCUAGUUGGUGGGUAAAGGCCUACCAAGGCGACGAUCCAUAGCUGGUCUGAGAGGAUGAUCAGCCACACUGGGACUGAGACACGGCCCAGACUCCUACGGAGGCAGCAGUGGGGAAUAUUGGACAAUGGGCGAAAGCCUGAUCCAGCAAUGCCGCGUGAGUGAUGAAGGCCUUAGGGUUGUAAAGCUCUUUUAACCCGAGAUGAUAAUGACAGUAUCGGGAGAAUAAGCUCCGGCUAACUCCGUGCCAGCAGCGCGGUAAAGUGACUACUG
rnacentral:rRNA from 1 species